AUAGGACUAUUGGUGAGGUCCACUACCCCGUUAAGGUAGCGCUCGAGAAGAGCUAGGGUUCGAAUCCCUCCCCUGCCCA
rnacentral:tRNA from 1 species